GAUGAACGCUAGCUACAGGCUUAACACAUGCAAGUCGAGGGGUAACGAGAGGAAAGCUUGCUUCCCUUGUCGACGACCGGCGCACGGGUGAGUAACGCGUAUCCAACCUGCCCCCAACUAGGGAAUAACCUUGCGAAAGUAAGACUAAUACCCUAUAAUUUCCUCAGAUGACAUCUGACGAGGAAUAAAGAUUUAUCGGUUGUGGAUGGGGAUGCGUCUGAUUAGCUUGUUGGCGAGGUAACGGCCCACCAAGGCAACGAUCAGUAGGGGUUCUGAGAGGAAGGUCCCCCACAUUGGAACUGAGACACGGUCCAAACUCCUACGGGAGGCAGCAGUGAGGAAUAUUGGUCAAUGGGCGGAAGCCUGAACCAGCCAAGUAGCGUGCAGGAUGACGGCCCUAUGGGUUGUAAACUGCUUUUAUACAGGAAUAAAGUUAGCCACGUGUGGUUAUUUGUAGGUACUGUAUGAAUAAGGACCGGCUAAUUCCGUGCCAGCCGCCGCCGUAA
rnacentral:rRNA from 1 species